rnacentral:rRNA from 1 species
GCCUACGACCAUAUCACCCAGAAUGCGCCCGAUCUCGUCUGAUCUCGGAAGCUAAGCAGGGUCGAGCUUGGAUAGUACUUGGAUGGGAGACUGCCUGGGAAUACCAGGUGUUGUAGUCU